UAAAAAACACUUUAUUUUGUUCUCACUAGGUAGUGACGAUUGAACUAAGGAAAAUUUAAAAUGCUGAAAUUAAAAGGAAGAAAAAAGAAAUUCAAGCCGAAAACAAGAAGAAAUAAAGAAGCAAUAAUAGACUCAAACCAGCAAUCUUUGCAAAUGCAAGAAUGUAGAACCCAGCAGUAAUUACGUGCCCGAGUCCUGCAGUUCGAAAGUUCCAGUACUCGUCGGCAACACUUCUGGACCUAGCAGUAUGCUUAAGACUACUACAUCAAUCAGCAACACACCUGUACCAGUCAGCAACUUGAAAGAACCCUGCUAUACUCGUGUGUCUGUGCCAUACAAUAACUCAGUUGUACUUAAUGGUCAAGAUGUGUUAACCUCUGUCAGCAACACCUCAGUACCUUGCAGUUAAAAUAAGCCUGUGCCAGUAAGCAACUCGAAAGAACCCUACUGUCAUACUCGUGUGCUUGUGCCAAAUAACAAAAUUUCGAAUGUAAUUCUUUGAGAUUUAUUUUUAAUCAACUGCUCUAAUAAUGAUGACUGUGCUAUUCAAAAUCUCAACGCUCUUAGCCUAUGGUCUUUUCUCAAAGAUUCAGUGUUUGAUGAUUUGUGGAUUCAAAGGAGAGUAUAUAUAUACAUUAUUUGCUGUGGUUCGGAAUUACCAUAGUGCUUAACAGUAAUCUUAUUACAGUUUAUUUCUAGUCAUCAUGAUCUAUUGUUUUAAAAUAUUAAUUAAGCUCUGAUUUUAAUUGUAUAAUUUCAUUUUGAUUAUGUUUAUAACCUAAAUUCAAAUCUUUGUCAGAAAUCAAUCUGUUAUGUUAAUGAAUAUUUUGCGUUUUACAUAUCUAUACGCAUGGGGGGGAAAUGGAUGCGCAUCGAUGGGCUGAUAUAAUUUUUCAUCUUUCUAUUUCAAAUUGGUAUAAUUGUCAAUUUUGUGAAAUAUUACAUGGUAACUGUUGUAAGUUUCAUAUAAUGUCCAAAAAUUGUUACAGAUAUAGCACCCCCUUGUAAUUAACCUUUUACAAAUUUACUCUAUGGGACAUAAACUGACAAAUCAUUGGAAAAAAUUCAACUCUACUCCAUGAAAUGUAUUUGAAUUUUAAUAUCCCAUGUAUAAUGUGUCUAUUUUUUAUCAUUUUAAAAAUUUGUUUGCAUCCUUAGGAUCAUUAUGAAUUUGUGUUAAUUACUUAUUGAACUACAUAUUACAUAUAUUAUUAGAAAUAUUUAAAACUACUAUACAUCUGUACAAUCUCCUUUGUUAGUUAUAUGAUUAUUAUUAAUGUACUUGUCAACUGAUGAAAAAUUUAAUCUGUUACACAGGCAUAAUUAUGUAUUGUUAAAUACAGUUCCAAUUUUCAAAUACCUGUC